rnacentral:rRNA from 1 species
GAAACGGAUGCUAAUACCGCAUACGCCCUACGGGGGAAAGCGGGGGAUCUUCGGACCUCGCGCUAUUGGAUGAGCCUAAGUCGGAUUAGCUUGUUGGUGAGGUAAAAGCUCACCAAGGCGACGAUCCGUAGCUGGUCUGAGAGGACGACCAGCCACACUGGGACUGAGACACGGCCCAGACUCCUACGGGAGGCAGCAGUGGGGAAUAUUGCACAAUGGGCGCAAGCCUGAUGCAGCAAUGCCGCGUGUGUGAAGAAGGCCUGCGGGUUGUAAAGCACUUUCAGUAGAGAAGAAAAGCCUAGGGUUAAUAACCCUGGGUCUUGACGUAACCUACAGAAGAAGCACCGGCUAACUCCGUGCCAGCAGCCGCGGUAAUACGGAGGGUGCGAACGUUAAUCGGAAUUACUGGGCGUAAAGCGCGCGUAGGCGGCUUUGUAAGUCGGAUGUGAAAGCCCUGGGCUCAACCUGGGAAUGGCAUUCGAUACUGCAUGGCUAGAGUAUGGUAGA